UUUCCGUUGGUGAACCAGCGGAAGGAUCAUUACAGAGAUCGUGCCCUUCGGGGUAGACCUCCCACCCUGUGUUACUUACGUAUGUUGCUUUGGCGGGCCGCCUCCGGGCUCUCGGCUUCGGCCGAGGUGUGCCCGCCAGAGAACCCACAACCCUGUGUUUAGUGUCGUCUGAGUAUUAUCAAAUAAGUUAAAACUUUCAACAACGGAUCUCUUGGUUCUG
rnacentral:misc_RNA from 1 species